rnacentral:rRNA from 1 species
AUUGAACGCUGGCGGCAUGCUUUACACAUGCAAGCCGAACGGUAACAGGUUAAGCUGACGAGUGGCGAACGGGUGAGUAAUGCAUCGGAACGUGCCCGGUCGUGGGGGAUAACGCAGCGAAAGCUGCGCUAAUACCGCAUACGAUCUAAGGAUGAAAGCGGGGGACCGUAAGGCCUCGCGCGAUCGGAGCGGCCGAUGUCAGAUUAGGUAGUUGGUGGGGUGAAGGCUCACCAAGCCAACGAUCUGUAGCUGGUCUGAGAGGACGACCAGCCACACUGGGACAGAGACACGGCCCAGACUCCUACGGGAGGCAGCAGUGGGGAAUUUUGGACAAUGGGCGAAAGCCUGAUCCAGCAAUGCCGCGUGCAGGAAGAAGGCUUUCGGGUUGUAAACUGCUUUUGUACGGAGAGAAAAGGUCUCCUCUAACACAGGGGGCUCAUGACGGUACCGUAAGAAUAAGCACCGGCUAACUACGUGCCAGCCGCCGCAGUAA